CCUACGGGUGGCUGCAGUGGGGAAUUUUGGACAAUGGGGGCAACCCUGAUCCAGCCAUGCCGCGUGAGUGAAGAAGGCCUUCGGGUUGUAAAGCUCUUUCGGCCGGGAAGAAAUCGCUCAAGCUAAUACCUUGGGUGGAUGACGGUACCGGAAGAAGAAGCACCGGCUAACUACGUGCCAGCAGCCGCGGUAAUACGUAGGGUGCGAGCGUUAAUCGGAAGCAGUGGGCGUAAAGCGAGCGCUGGGGGAUCCCCGGGCUUAACCUGGGAACUGCGUUUGUGACUGUGGUGCUCGAGUGCGGCAGAGGGGGGUGGAAUUCCACGUGUAGCAGUGAAAUGCGUAGAUAUCAGAUAGAACACCAAUGGCGAAGGCAGUUACCUGGCUCAAUACUGACGCUAAAGCACGAAAGUGUGGGGAGCAAACAGGAUUAGAUACCCGUGUAGUC
rnacentral:rRNA from 1 species